AUUGAACGCUGGCGGCAGGCCUAACACAUGCAAGUCGGGCGGAGCGGCGGACGGGUGAGUAAGGUAUGGGGAUCUGCCUGGUAGUGGGGGAUAACGACCGGAAACGGGCGCUAAUACCGCAUACUAUCAGAUGAGCCUAGGUUGGAUGAGCUAGUUGGGGGGGUAAAGGCCUACCAAGGCGACGAUCCGUAACUGGUCUGAGAGGAGGAUCAGUCACACUGGACAUGAGACACGGUCCAGACUCCUACGGGAGGCAGCAGUGGGGAAUAUUGGACAAUGGGCGCAAGCCUGAUGCAGCCAUGCCGCGUGUAUGAAGAAGGCCUUCGGUUUGUAAAGUACUUUCAGUCGGGAGGCGGGACCGAAAGAAGAAGCACCGGCUAACUCCGUGCCAGCCGCCGCGGUAAUUA
rnacentral:rRNA from 1 species